GCCGGUGUAGCUCAGUUGGUAGAGCAACUGAUUCGUAAUCAGUAGGUCCGCGGUUCGACUCCGCGCGCCGGCA
rfam:Gammaproteobacteria bacterium RIFCSPHIGHO2_12_FTLL_37_14 rifcsphigho2_12_scaffold_505, whole genome shotgun sequence.